UACAGGGGGUGCAAACGUUGCUCGGAAUCAUUGGGCGUAAAGCGCACGUAGGCGGUCUGUUAUGUCGGAUGUGAAAGCCCUUGGCUUAACUGAGGAAGUGCAUCCGAAACUGGCAGGCUAGAGUACUAAAGAGGGUCGCGGAAUUCCCGGUGUAGAGGUGAAAUGCGUAGAUAUCUGGAGGAACACCGGUGGCGAAGGCGGCGUCCUGGACCAACACUGACACUGAUGAGCGAAAGCCAGGGGAGCAAACGGG
rnacentral:rRNA from 1 species